rnacentral:lncRNA from 1 species
GGCAGCAGAGAUUAUAAAUCUGAGAAAAUAGAGAACAACUGAGGAAUAAAGAAGAAAAAAAUUAAAUAAUAAUGAUCAUCUUUUACUGCAUAAUCAAAGGAAUAAGAAACAAAAAUAAAUAGAUUUAAAGCAUAAUUGAAACCAUGAUUUACCUUUCAGUUUAGAGAGUACCAAACUCCUUUGUAAUUAACCAAAAAAGAAAAAAUAGAUUAAGGAAAUACAUGAGACAAACAUAGAGUUCCAGAAAUUAGAGAAAAAAAAUUACAAAAAAAAAAAGUUAAGGUGAAGAGGUGGCAACAAAAAAUUCUCACCUAUCAACUUAGAUGCAACAAAAAUGUCUACUUCCAUUCCUCUACUUCCAUCAACACAAAAAUGUCUAUAACAUAUAUUUAGCAUCUUCCACCAUAAAUCAAAUUUAUAGCUUUGAAAAUAAUAUGAAAAAUGUAACUGAGAGGGGAAAGAAAUUGCUUGGGUGUGGUUGCAAUCCAUCAAGGAUUGAGGGAGAAAGGUUUUAAUUCCAUACUAGAUAUUAGAGAAAAAAAAAAAGGUGAGAUGAAGAGAUGUAGGGAUUUUUGUUCUCUGGUGAAGAAGAUACAUGAAAAUAUAGAUGAAUUUUUUAUGGAGGAUUUAUAGAGAAACAUGGCCUGCAUAUAGCCAUUUU